rnacentral:tRNA from 1 species
GGGCUCGUAGCUCAGCUUGGUAGAGCAUCUGCCUUUUAAGCAGGUGGUCGUGGGUUCAAAUCCCACCGGGCCCA